rnacentral:lncRNA from 10 species
GAGGCAGUGUGGAGGGCUGUUGCCUUGAAUGGCAGCUGAAUGCACCAGCGGGAUCCUUGGCAGCAAUGCCCAGGCACUGAAGUCGGGCAUUCAGGAGAGCUAAAUGGAGAAAAGAAACUUGAGCAAACUGCUUCCUGGAACACUGAGAACCUGAAUGGGAAAUUAAGAAGAACCAGAUUCUUUCUAUUCUUCCACCAGCCAAGUUUUGAAGAUUUGUUUUGAAUCUUGAAGAGAGAGCAGCAAGCCUUUUGGCCUAUGGAUUCUAAGAGUCACAUUCCAACAGGUGAUAUCAAAAGGACAAGGAAGCAGGGAGGGGUGACUUGCACGGAAGGUGCCCAGUGAGAUGUCUCUGCCAUGGAGAUUGUGCUGAUGCCACAAGCAAAGCGUUUGUACCCCUCUCAUCCACAAGAGAAGUCCCUCCGGGUAUUUCAGAUGAUACCUGAAAGGAUGAUAAGGCAGGGAAUCAGAGGCUGACACCGCUAUUGGAUGGACUGGGGGAGUGAAGACCAAAAGGUCAUUUUCAGGAAAAAAAUAAAUUAGGAAGUACAGGGAUAAGACAGAAGCCACCACCAAUAACUCCACACCUACAGCUCCAAAGCAUGUGAUUCAGAAGGAUCCUUGUUGAUAUUGGCCAUCACCUUGUGUCACAAUACCAGUGGCCGCAGAGAUUUAAAUAAAUGCAUCCCAGAUACAGAGUUAAAAGCAUGCCAACAAUGAGGGCUGUGUGGUUUGGAGAAGAGCAGAAGAGCACACUGCUUUCAGUCAGGCAGAGGCAGAUUAGAUUGCCUGCCACCUCCAGUGGGAUGGUGGCUCCGGACAGUCACUCACCUUCUCUAAAACCCACCU